GUGAGGAUACCCAAGUGGUUUAAGGGGCUGGUCUGCAAAACCUGUAUUCAUCGGUUCAAAUCCGAUUCCUCACU
rnacentral:tRNA from 1 species